rnacentral:rRNA from 1 species
GUCUUAAAGAUAUUAAUUUUAAGUCAAAUCUGCCCAAUGAAUUUUUUUUUUAAUGGCUGCAGAAUUAAUAACUGUACAAAGGUAGCAUAAUAAUUUGUUUUUUAAUUAAAAACUAGAAUGAAUGAUUAAAUGAAAUAUAAACUUUAUAAAUUAAAUAAUAUUUUAAAUUUUUAUUUAAGUAAAAAAACUUAAAUUAAUAUAAAAGACGACAAGACCCUAUAGAAUUUUAUUUAUAAUUUAAUUAAAUUAAUUAUUUUAAAUAAAUUAUGUUAUAAAUUUAAUUGGGGUAAUUUAAAAAUUUAAAAAAUUUUUUUAUAAUUAAAACAAUAAUUAUUGAUUAAUAUAUCUUAAAAUUUAAAUUAAUAAAAUUAAUUACCUUAGGGAUAACAGCAUAAUUUUUUUUAAAAGAUCAUAUUUAUAAAAAAGAUUAU